AAUAAAUAGAGGUUUGUUUGUUUUUUGAAAUGUAAAAUUUACACCCCUUCCUCCUCCACUCGCCGGCUCAGAUAGUGUGUAUACACUCUGAACUGGUAAACAAUCCAAACAAAGGCUUCUCUAUGAGAAGUCUGUGAAUAAACUGCGUCAGUGUAGUGAUGAUGUAAGACAGAGAACGGAGAUAAUCGCCAGGAGUUUCACCUGGAGCUGGAUGUCAGGUAAGUUUAGA